GAUGAAGAACGUAGUGAAAUGCGAUAAGUAAUGUGAAUUGCAGAAUUCAGUGAAACAUCGAAUCUUUGAACGCACAUUGCGCCCGCCAGUAUUCUGGCGGGCAUGCCUGUUCGAGCGUCAUUACAACCCUCAGGCCCCCGGGCCUGGCGUUGGGGAUCGGCGGAGCCCCCCGUGGGCACACGCCGUCCCCCAAAUGCAGUGGCGGUCCCGCCGCAGCUUCCAUCGCGUAGUAGCUAACACCUCGCGACUGGAGAGCGGCGCGGCCACGCCGUAAAACACCCAACUCUUCUGAAGUUGACCUCGAAUCAGGUAGGAAUACCCGCUGAACUUAAGCAUAUCAAUAAGCGGAGGA
rnacentral:misc_RNA from 1 species